UGAGGAAUAUUGGUCAAUGGGCGAGAGCCUGAACCAGCCAAGUAGCGUGCAGGAUGACGGCCCUAUGGGUUGUAAACUGCUUUUAUAUGGGAAUAAAGUGAGGGACGUGUCCCUUAUUGCAUGUACCAUACGAAUAAGGACCGGCUAAUUCCGUGCCAGCAGCCGCGGUAAUACGGAAGGUCCAGGCGUUAUCCGGAUUUAUUGGGUUUAAAGGGAGCGUAGGCUGUUUGUUAAGCGUGUUGUGAAAUGUAAGAGCUCAACUUUUAGAUUGCAGCGCGAACUGUCAGACUUGAGUGCGCACAACGUAGGCGGAAUUCAUGGUGUAGCGGUGAAAUGCUUAGAUAUCAUGAAGAACUCCGAUUGCGAAGGCAGCUUACGGGAGCGCAACUGACGCUGAAGCUCGAAGGUACGGGUAUCGAACAGG
rnacentral:rRNA from 1 species